AUGCAAGUCGAGCGGUAACAGAUCCAGCUUGCUGGAUGCUGACGAGCGGCGGACGGGUGAGUAAUGCAUAGGAAUCUGCCCGAUAGUGGGGGAUAACCUGGGGAAACCCAGGCUAAUACCGCAUACGUCCUACGGGAGAAAGGGGGCUCCGGCUCCCGCUAUGGGAUGAGCCUAUGUCGGAUUAGCUAGUUGGUGAGGUAACGGCUCACCAAGGCCACGAUCCGUAGCUGGUCUGAGAGGAUGAUCAGCCACAUCGGGACUGAGACACGGCCCGAACUCCUACGGGAGGCAGCAGUGGGGAAUACUGGACAAUGGGGGAAACCCUGAUCCAGCCAUGCCGCGUGUGUGAAGAAGGCCCUCGGGUUGUAAAGCACUUUCAGCGAGGAAGAACGCCUAGCGGUUAAUACCCGCUAGGAAAGACAUCACUCGCAGAAGAAGCACCGGCUAACUCCGUGCCAGCAGCCGCGGUAAUACGGAGGGUGCAAGCGUNAAUCGGAAUUACUGGGCGUAAAGCGCGCG
rnacentral:rRNA from 1 species